rnacentral:rRNA from 1 species
AGCGAACGCUGGCGGCAGGCCCAACACAUGCAAGUCGAACGGAUCCUUCGGGAUUAGUGGCGGACGGGUGAGUAACACGUGGGAACGUGCCCUUUGGUUCGGAAUAACUCAGGGAAACCUGAGCUAAUACCGAAUGUGCCCUUCGGGGAAAGAUUUAUCGCCAUUGGAGCGGCCCGCGUCUGAUUAGCUAGUUGGUGAGGUAAAGGCUCACCAAGGCGACGAUCAGUAGCUGGUCUGAGAGGAUGAUCAGCCACACUGGGACUGAGACACGGCCCAGACUCCUACGGGAGGCAGCAGUGGGGAAUCUUGCGCAAUGGGCGAAGCCUGACGCAGCCAUGCCGCGUGAAUGAUGAAGGUCUUAGGAUUGUAAAAUUCUUUCACCGGGGACGAUAAUGACGGUACCCGGAGAAGAAGCCCCGGCUAACUUCGUGCCAGCANCCGCGGUAAUACGAGGGGCUAGCGUUGCUCGAAUUACUGGCGUAAAGGGAGCGUAGGCGGACAGCUAAAGUCAGAGGUGAAAGCCCAGGGCUCAACCCUGGAAUUGCCUUUGAUACUGGCUAUCUUGAGUAUGGGAGAGGUGUGUGGAACUCCGAGUGUAGAGGUGAAAUUCGUAGAUAUUCGGAAGAACACCAGUGGCGAAGGCGACACACUGGCCCAUUACUGACGCUGAGGCUCGAAAGCGUGGGGAGCAAAA